AAACACAAUAAGAGAACAUGAAUGAUAAAGUGAAGCUGAUCACUUUUUUUUUUUCUGAGGGAAUUUACUUAUCAAAUUUAGAUAGACUAAAUGCAAAUACUGUUGCAGUAGUUUGAAGUGUUGCAGUGAUCUUACACACCCAAAUACUGUAGCAAACUCAACACGUUUAGAAAAGCUUCUAAGGGUUAAAUCUAUUCCUAGAAAUUCAUUUUCAUAUGAAUUUUAAUUAACUGUUUUAGUUGCGUAGUGCCAUAUUUAAUUUUUGAAAGUAAUGAAAAUAAGGCUAUUAGGGAUAGAAGUAUUGUAGUAUUGUUAAACAACAUACUGAAUGUUCAGCUGAUGAAACAGUUUUGAAAGUUGUGAGUUGUGAAAAUGACACGACGUAUUGGAUCUUUACACAUACAUGUCAUUGCAAAAACUAUAGCUAAGGAUCAUUUUCAUCUGCCUAAAAUUCAGUAUGGCGUCUAACCUGUGCGGUGUAUUCAGUCAACUAAUGGACAAACCCAAAGUGAUAAAAUAGGAAAAUGGUAAGACGGAUACAGUAUAUCUGUCAGUAAUGUAAGAAGUUUCAUUUUACAUUCGACAUUCUCUCUUUUACUUCCAUGUAUUUACAAGACCUCUGUAAAUAAGAGAAACUGUUGGCGCCUAUUGCAACAGGAUCAGGGCCAUACUGAAACAAGUUUUUUUUCCAUCACAACAAAACCUUCGGCAUAAUGUUUCAGUAUGCCAGACAUCUCAUUGUUGAUGUGCAUGAGCUCAUCUUGACACCAUAUGAUCUGCGUUUAUUUUUAAUGCACAGUUAAAUGAGAGGGAGAGAGAGAGAGAGAGAGAGAUGUUUUACAGGAUAAUUCGGGAGAUGACAGGGGGGGAAAAAUGUAGAUCACAAAAAAAUAGUACAUUUUCACACACACACACACACACACACACACACACACACACACACACACAUCAAUGACUCGAAAUUACCUCUCAACUGGGCCAUUAAUUUCAGUCCCAAUCACCACAGACAAGAAUAAAGCCUACAUAUUUCAAAAAGGAAUUACAUACCCAUUUAGUAAGAUACCAAGCAACACCAGAAGAAAGGGAUUUACUCGCAUUGUUUUAACAGUUGGAUCCUUAUUCAGUUUGAAAAUGGAAUGGAUAAUAAGAUAAUGGAGGAGAAUAGUCCUUUUCUAAAAGGGGGAGGAGUGUGCUGUGUGGUGUUGUUUAGGCAACAACAGUCCAAGCUACCUGCAGACUCAAACAACCAAUCAAACUACCCCUGACAGUUUAACAGCCAAUGACUGAUCGGAAUCAUUCAGUAUCAUUCAUAAUAUCCCCAAAGAGCCUCCACACCAGAUGUAAAUAACACAUACUGAAAACUGUAGAGGCUACAGUAAAAGCUUGAAAGCCCACACCUGAUAUGCAUCAACUGUUGUACAGGGACAUGUUUAGUUUAUUCAAAUGAAAAAUGGUAUUAAGGCAGAAUAGGAUCCCUUUACACUUGUAGCCAAACCUGCAAACACAAUACUAAACCAAAUCAGUAGCUUCAAGUUAAUGUAGAGAACAAAACAGAGAAAAGCAGCACAUGAUCAAAGCAGACAAACAUAUGUGCUUAAACCCCUUGUCAUUUUGUGACAUCACAACCUCCAAACUUAACUGUCCUUGUCAGUUUUUACAACAAAGUGACAGAAAUGACAAGCAUAAAAUGCCUUUAAAAAAGCUUUAUGCAAGGAAAUAUUUCAUUGUACGAAUGAAAACAUACACACUUAACAGUAAAUAUCCUCACAAUAAAUGUCUCACACACACACACACACUUCCAUAGAAAUCGUACAGUACAAGGCAACAAAAAAGGGCAUGCAUGCAUAAACAAACAUCAGUGGAUUCAAAGCAUGCAUUUCAUUGUUAAGUCAUGCCUCUUGUGAUCUCAAGAAUAAUAUUAUUUAGCAAACCAUUGCGAAUUUGUAUAUAUUUGUAUGCAGUGUGCGUCCUGUGCGGUUGUCUUUCUUGUCGAAAAACCUGACGCAAGUAUUCUCCUCCCCCUUCACAUCAGUCAUAAUGAUUUUAAUUUGAUCAAAUAUAUCAUACAUCUCAUAUAUUUUAACAGGGCAUCUUGCUGUAUUAAUAUUUAUUAUGAAUGUGGUAAACAACCAAACUUUAACAACAUAAAGACACUGUGGCGUGCCGUGCACAGACCUCCGGAGGAGCAGGGGAGAAAUUGUGAUAUCCUGUUAUAUUGUUUGGCUUUCUAUUAAUGCAAUAUAAUCAAUCACAGCGGUCUAGUGUCCCAGUGGCUUACAUUAUUAGCAGUUUAGUGUUAAGUGAGUAAUUUACAACAAAACAAAAAUAAAAUUCAUGUCCGAAAACAUUAUUUUUGUCUUAAAUUUCAUUAGGAGGGUCCUCUCACAUUAAAUUAAAUUCUCCACCUAUUAGAUUGUGUUUUAUUAACGUCUACACCUAGCCCAACCCAACCCUAAACCUACCCCUUACAAUAAUGCAAAAACGGUAAUUAUUUUUGUACAGUGUGACAAAAAUUACGCUAUAUUGAUGUGCGCACGCCCAGUAGCCGCAGCUGUAUCCCUUCUCAGACAAAUGUCCCGUCUAGCCUUAACAUGCAACAGCGCAUGCGCAGGUGAAUGCAAGCACAGUACGAGGACACUAUCCACCCCAGCGGAGUAAAAAGCUGUGCGCACCCGGAUGUGUGCGAGACGGAGCAGAAUGCGGAAAACGAACAAUGCAGCAAUGUAAGAGUCUGCUGGGCAGCAUCCUGAAAAGUGAAGCCAAAACAUUUUGAUCGCUCCCUGGUGGCUGGCUGCAGUAUAGGACCAGAAACCUUACCUGACCCUUGUAAAUGAAAGGUAUGUGAGCCAAACGAAAAAAAAAUCUAAUCACUCUUCAAAUAAUAUUUGCCAAAAAAAUGGUUUCCAUAAUUUUAGGUAGUUCUUAUCAUGCUGAUUUAUGUGUUUUCUAUUAAGCUUGGUUUUAGUUUGUUUUGGUGCUAUAAAAAUGGAGUGUGGUGUUCUGAUUGAGUCUGCCGGAAUUUGAGUGGCAUCUUGAUACCAUUGCUCCACUUCAAAAUCUCUACUGAAAAAAGGAAAAAAGUCUGGGCCUUUUUAGCUUCAUUUUUCUACGGUGGAAGGAAAUAGAGACACAUUGUUAAUCUUAUGGCCUAUGUUCAUAAGUAACGUUGGAGCUAACUCUGCAGGACAGUGGCCCUCCAGGACCGAAUUCUCCCAGCCCUGAUGUAGUGUGUCGUGUCAUAUCAUGUACUUCAUGUAAUGAGAUUUUACUCCAUGUGAAACUUCAAAAAGCACUUCUUCUCUGCUGUGAAACAGAGGUGCACGUUACACUUUUUGGGUAACACUUUACAAUAAGGUUCAUUAGUUAACAACAUUAGUAAACAUGAACUAAGAAUGAACAAUACUUCUACAGCAUUUAUUAAUCUUAGUUAAUGUUAAUUUCAGCAUUUACUAAUGCAUUAUUAAAAUCAUAAGUUGUGUUUGUUAACAUUAGUUAAUGCACUGUGAACUAACAUGAAUAAACAAUGAACAACUGUAUUUUCAUUAACUAACAUUAACAAAGUUUAAUAAAUAGUGUAAUAAAUGUAUUGUUCAUUGCUUGUUCAUGUUAGUUAAUAAUUAACUAAUGUUAAUAAAUGACACCUUAUUGUAAAGUGUUACCACUUUUUGCAUAUCACUUUGGGUUUUCCUGUGCACCCAGGAACCUUGCAUCUUCCCUUUUUCUCACACAUUAUUUGCCCGUAUGUAUUGUCAAUGGGAAAUCCUGGUUAGGGAUGGGAGCCGUGGACCCCUGCAUCCUUGCCCCUUAUCGCACAAUGUUGUAACCCUGAGGCAACGAAAAGAAAA